GUGCUCGCUUCGGCUGCACAUAUACUAAAAUUGGAAUGAUGCAUAAAAGACUAGCAAGGCCUCUGGGAUGAUACGCAAAUUCAUGAAGCAGUCCAUAUUUAA
ensembl:snRNA U6 U6 spliceosomal RNA